UGAAAACUAAUACUGAAAUAGUUUAUAAUUUAUUAACAUAUGCAUUUUAUCUGAAUCAAUGGUUAAGUAAAUAUGAAAAAAUUUAACAACACAAUUAUCGAUUAACACAUGUGUUCAUCCUUAUAUUUGAUAAUAAUGGAAAAGGAAGAUCAUAAUAAAGUGUUGUGCGCCUCGAAGGAGCAAAUCGAGUGCUAUCUCAACUUUGUGCGGGUUCACCCGGAGAUAAAGUUACAUAAAAACGACCCAUCGCGGCCAAAAAGGGUUGAGGAGCUUUGGACGGAACUCUCCCCCAAUUAAAUGCCCUAAAAGGGCCCACCCGGAACCCCAUCAAAUGGAGAGAGAAUCUGAGCCAUUGGAAAAAACAUAUACAAUCACGUGCAAGGAGAGCCAAGGCGCAUAAGCUGGUGACAGGUGGCGGUCCCAGCUCAACAAUUGAGCUCUCUGAAACGGAGCAGAGAGCGUUGGAUACGUUGAGGUAAAUCGCGGUUGAUGGAUUGGCUGAUGUAAAAGCCAUUGGCACAGAGGUAAGAAUAGCAAGAAAGACCAAUACGAGUGUGCAGAAUUUAUAACUGUUUUUUCUUUUUCUAAUUUAGGAAGAAGUAGUUUUCACAGUUGCACCAUCACCCCUGAAUACGACUUCGGAUGCGUCCGAUGACUGCACUCCGUCAUCGUCCCGAAGCAAAAAAAUAACGACGGACGAAAUGUUCAGAAAUUAUAUAGAUUUAAUGAAAGGAAAAGCCGAGGAGGAGAGAGCUUUCCGGAUUCAAAUUAUAGAUUCCAUUAACAAACACACGGAAUCUAUUAAUAAUUUAGCGGCAGCGAUAGUGUCGCUUGCUCAGACCAUUGUAAAA